rnacentral:rRNA from 4 species
UACGUAGGGGGCUAGCGUUAUCCGGAUUUACUGGGCGUAAAGGGUGCGUAGGCGGUCUUUUAAGUCAGGAGUGAAAGGCUACGGCUCAACCGUAGUAAGCUCUUGAAACUGGAGGACUUGAGUGCAGGAGAGGAGAGUGGAAUUCCUAGUGUAGCGGUGAAAUGCGUAGAUAUUAGGAGGAACACCAGUAGCGAAGGCGGCUCUCUGGACUGUAACUGACGCUGAGGCACGAAAGCGUGGGGAGCAAACAGG